rnacentral:rRNA from 1 species
UGGUGAGGUAAUGGCUCACCAAGGCUAUGACGGAUAUCUGGUUUGAGAGGAUGAUCAGACACACUGGAACUGAGACACGGUCCAGACUCCUACGGGAGGCAGCAGUGAGGAAUAUUGCACAAUGGAGGAAACUCUGAUGCAGCAACGCCGCGUGGAGGAUGACGCAUUUCGGUGUGUAAACUCCUUUUAUUAGGGAAGAUAAUGACGGUACCUAAUGAAUAAGCACCGGCUAACUCCGUGCCAGCAGCCGCGGUAAUACGGAGGGUGCAAGCGUUACUCGGAAUCACUGGGCGUAAAGGGUGCGUAGGCUGGCUUUUAAGUCAGAUGUGAAAUCCAAUGGCUCAACCAUUGAACUGCAUUUGAAACUGAAAGCCUAGAGUUCAGAAGGGGCAGAUGGAAUUAGUGGUGUAGGGGUAAAAUCCGUAGAUAUCACUAGGAAUAUCAAAAGCGAAGGCGAUC